AUAUGCAAUUGCAAUUCUGUCACUUCAAAUCUCUUUGUUUCCUUCCUUAAUCUCUCUCUCAAUUCCAUCACUAUUUUUACUCAGCUCUUUAAUUUCUGCGAAUCCCCUUUUCUUCUUGUUCCCUCCGAAUUUCGAUCAUUUCUAUGGGUUUUCUUUACAUUUAAGUACAAGGGUGUUCGUUUUUGGAGUUUUUAUGAAAACCCCACUUCGUUUUUUGAGGAUUAUUUGAGUUUCUUCUCUGUUUUUUCAACCCCCAUUAAUGGAAAUGUCGUUGUUGGAACCAAAAACUGUGGUUUCUUCCCCAUUUUCGAGCUUCAGACACCAAGUUCGGAGGUUUUCUAGCUGUUCUUCUUGUUUAGGGAGAUUUUCCAGGGCUUCUUAUUCAAAUGGUGUGCCAAACAAGGCAUAUUGUAGUGGAGCUGUGAGUUCAAUUGGCCAGGAAAAACUACCGGCUGAAGCUUUUACACAUCAGAUAAAUGGAACAAAUGUAUUGAGUUCAAAGCUGUUUUCAAGAGAUUGUAGAUUGUUAGAUGCAGUUGAUGAUCGAUAUGAUGGAAUUGUUAUUGAUCCAAAUGGAUUGCCUUCAAAUCCGAUCGUCUUUUCGUCCAAUCUUCGUUUCUCUCUGUCUCAUUGGAAAAAGAAGGGAAAGAAGGGAGUUUGGCUUAAGUUGCUAGUCGAACAGUCAGAGCUAAUUCCGAUCGCCCUGAAGGCAGGAUUUCAGUACCAUCAUGCUGAGCCAGAUUACUUGAUGUUAACAUAUUGGAUACCCGAUGGACCCUGCAUGCUUCCUGCAAAUGCUUCGCAUCACGUCGGGGUUGGAGGAUUUGUCAUCAAUGAUAGAAAUGAGGUCUUGGUAGUGCAAGAAAAAUACUGUUCUCCAACAUUUGCUAAUUUUUGGAAAAUACCAACUGGUUUCAUUGUUGAGAAGGAGGAGAUCUAUACAGGAGUUACUAGAGAAGUUAAAGAGGAAACUGGUAGAAAAAAGAAACGAAGAUUUGAAUUAAUCGACAAGAGAAAAGGUAGAGAGAACCUCCCAAUUAGCCAAAGGAGUUACAAAAGAUCUCUUAUCGACUUAGAUAUCAAACCAAUAAUUACAAAAGAUCUUAGAGAAAGCAUUCAAUCACAAAAAACAUAACUUCGUUUGUAUCUUCUUUGUACAGUGGAAAAGUAUUGUUGAAAGUUCUGUUGUUUCUUUCUAGCCAAAUUGUGACCCACAUAAGAGUCCCCACUGGAAGGUAUCCUCCAAAACGUCAUCGUCUUGUCAGAGAAGUCCCGAUGAAAGAUGCUUCGACCAAAAAUAUCGCCUUGCAGGGGAUUAUAUUAUUUGUACUCUAAUAUCAUGUUGAUCUUACAAUGAAUGCAAACUUGAACAAAGAAUUUAACUUCAGAAAUCUUCCAUCUUUCAAAUAAACUCAGCAAUUCCUUUUACAGGCUUCUGAGAUAAGCUUUAUGUAUCUAUUUAAGAUGGCUGAUCAAGUUUGUGGGUCCUAAUAGAUUCUCUUUGCUCUGAUUUGCAGAUUGAGACUGAAUUUGUUGAAGUAAUAGCUUUCAGGCAUGCUCACAAUAUAGCAUUUGGGAAAUCGGAUUUGUUCUUUGUCUGCAUGCUUAGACCUUUAUCGACUCAGAUUAUCGUCGAUGAUCUCGAAAUUCAAGCAGCAAAG